GAACUCAACACCAUCAUUUGCACCGACCGCCUAUUUUCCCCUGCACAUCUUAGAUUUCUCCACCGGAUUGCUGCUGUUAACUGUUCCGGUGGCGGUGUCCGAUCAAAACCCUAAACCCUAAAUCAAUUUUCCCGUCGAUCUAUCUGUUGGUUAUGUUAAGGAUGUUCAAGAAUUUGUUUUCCCCAACUUCGCACGCUACCGGUGCAUCUUAGAUUACUCCACGGGAUUGCUGCUAUAUUAACUGUCCCAUUGACGACGUCCGAUGAAAACCCUAAAUCAAUUUUCCCGCCGUUCUAUCUGCUCAAGGAAAUGGGGAGUAUUACGCGAAUACCUGAGGCUAUUUGGAGUUCAAUUCGGACAGGGGUUAUCAUGUUGUUGAGGAGUUGGUUUUCAACAGCCUCGAAGCUGGUGCCACCAAGGUAUCUGUUGCUAUAGGCAUUGACACCUGCUAUAUUAAGGAUCUGGUGUCUCACGAGAUGGAUUGGUGUUGAUGGGAGAAAGAUAUGCGACAUCAAAAUACAGCCAUUCAGAUGAUAUGCAUGCUUUCCUAGCAAGCUUUGGCUUUAAUGGAGAGGGUUUGAGCUCUACUUCUGACAUUUCUUUUUGGAAAUUCAAAAACUCAUGGGAGGCCAAAUGGAUAUCGUAAGGUUUUGAAGGAUGACAAGUGUUUGUACCUUGGAAUUGAUGACUUCAGAGAAGAUGUUGGUACAACAGUCCAAAGAGGUUUUUGCGUUCUCCGAAAGUCUCUGCUAAGAAUCACCCUUGCGCAUCCCAGUGUCUCCUUCAAAACUGUUUAUAUUGAAAGUGAGGAUGACCUGCUUUUCCUUUUCCUUGUCGCUGUUGUCCACUGGGUUUGGGUAUUCAUCUGAGUUCCCUUAACAAAUUGAAUGCAAGUGUUUGUGCAUUCAAGCUUUAAGGAUAUAUCUCAGGUCCUGAUGUUUACACAAUGAAGGUCCUUGAGUAUUUCUAUUUGUUUCCAAUGGACCACUACAUAAAUUGCCCAAGAUCUUUAUAUGAUUUGACUUUGGAGCCUUCAAAGACCUCUGUGGAAUUUAAGGUUAAGACGGGAGUGGUUUGACUUAUCGGCACAAAAAAGGAAGAAAAAGGCGGUGUGUGUGGUUUUUCUCUUUAUUGAGGAUAUUGUCGUGAAUCUCUGGACUGCAAGUAAAUUCUGCCGAUAUACCUGUGAAUUGUGAUAUCAAGAAAAAGAGGUGCAGGGCACAGAGUUGCAAAGCUACACUUGAGCUUCCUUCCCAGCAGCCAAAGAAACUGAUUGGAGAGUGCACUGUCCGGAGAGAGAUUCGAUCUUCGCAGAAUAUUUUGUGGGGAAAUGCUUCUGAAAAGCGUUAUCCUGAGUCCAGAUUCCUCUUGUCAAAUUGAAAGUUCAAGUCGGUCAAUUGAUGGAUCUCUUGCUGAUUGCACAGUUGAUGUAAACUCGAAAUUCAGAAGCUCUGUGCAAUCCCUUUCAUCCAAUGCCAGAAACUAGACUGUUAAGGAGACUGCAGCAUUCUGCAAAAGCUAUCUGCUCAGAGCUUCCACAGCAGUCGUCCCAUCAGUGUGAUUAGUCUUCCACCCAAAGUUGUGUUGACGGUGUAUUCCCUGAUGAAAGGACAAGUGUGAAAAUGAAACUUGUUAACAUCUGGAAUAGCAAAUUACAAACUCAAGGGGAGUGCAGGGAGUGCACAAGUACACGCGAUGGGGAGUCAAAAGAAGCAUGCUGCAGAUGAGCGAAUUUUCCUGGAAGAACUGCCUGAGAAGAUAGGAUCGCAUACUUGGUUGGAGUCUGUAACAACAUCAACAACAACGUACCUAGUGAAAUCCCAUAAGCACUUGGAGUCUGUAUCUUAUUGAAUUAUCAGGUCCUAUCUGGACAAAUGAGGAGAACAGUCUAUCUUGAUUCCGAGCAAGAAUUGGUACAUUGAUUUUGGUAAUAGGUCAUGCCUGAAAUUGGUUACCAAUUACUACACAACUAUGCUGACCAAAUUCAAAACUGGGGUUGGAUCUGCAACGUUCAUUCACAAUCUUCAAGAUCAUUUACCAGGAACUUAAAUCUGAUUCAUAAGCAACCAACAUCUGUCACACUUCUUGCGGUUCCAUGUAUUUUGUGCGUUAAUCUCUAACUGAUGCGGAUCUGUUAGAAUUUAUUCAACAGGUUAGUCCAUUGACACUAACUUGCUCUCAUAUAUUACUCCAUUUUACUCUUAAUCUUACUCAUGGAAUCUUGCUUAAAUGUUGUGUCAUGUUCUCUGAUGGAUCAUCAAUAGAGUACCCCAAUCAAUAGUCAAUUGGAUCCUGAAUAACAAGGCUAGCAGGACUAAGUUCAUAUUUAAUUUAUGAAUUUGUAACUACCUUGAUGCUCUCUCCUCCAUUACUAAUGUCUUUGUUUUUAUUUGUGUUGGAACAAUAACUCUGAUAUGGAUAGAGUGGAACAGAUACAGUGGAAUGAGGAUCAAUAUAGCAGGCCAAUUAAUUUUGGGGGUGAAGCAUAAUUGAUGGAUUGAUUCAUCUGCAGUUAAAAUGUUGCCAUUCUAUUUAUUUUCGUAGGUGCAAUUAUGUUUGGAGAUGCAUUGUUUCUUCAGAAUGAUCUCUCAUUGUUGAGGAGUUGAAGCAGGCAGACCUCAUUGUGUUUUCAAGCGAGUGGAAAAUUGCAUUUCAGGAAAUAUCUGUGUUGGAACUGCAUUUGAUGUAACAUCAAAAUACAGUCAUUCAGAUGAUAUGCAUGCUUUCACAACAAGCUAUGGCUUUAAAGGAGAGACUCUGAGCUCUAUUUCUAACGUUUCUUUGUUGGAAAUUGUUACUAAUACUCACAGGAAGCCAAAUGGAUAUUGUAAGGUUUUGAAGGACGGCAAGUGUUUGUACCUUGGAAUUGAUCAUUUUGCUUUACAUUUAUUGUAAUGUUCUACAACAUGCUGCAGAUGGGCAAAUUCGUUUGGAAGAACUGCGUGAGAAGGUCCUAUCGGAAAGAAUGAGGACAAUAACCUAUCCUAAUUCUGAGCAAGAAUUGGUACAAUUAUUUUGAUAAUAGGUCAUUCCUGAAUUGGUUACCAAUUACUACUCAGCUAUGCUGAUCAAAUUCAAAGCUGGGGUUGGAUCUGCAACAAUCAUUCUCAAACUUCUAGAUCAUUUACCAGACUUAGCUGAUUGAUGAGAGUCAAAGGUAGAUGUUUCAUGCUGCAUAAAGAAAGUUGUCAAGCAUAUUGAUUGAAGGAAGUGAAACUCGGGCAAGCUUGCCGAUACAGAAGGAUCAUCAAUAGAGUACCCCCAUCAGUGAACUGGGUCCUGAAUAACAAGCCUUGCAAGAGUAAGUUAAUAUUUAAUUCAUGAAUUUGGAGCUACCUUGAUGCUCUCUCGCCUCCACCCACCCCGACAGAGAACAGGGAAUUAGAACCAAAAGUGAUUCUGAAGGCAACAAUGAAUCUCCAAACAUAAAGCAGGCCAACUAAUUUUGGGGGUGAGGCAUAAUUGAUGUAAUGUUUCCUGAUGCUGCUAUUGUAUUUAUUUAUUUGUGUUUGGAGAUGCAUUGUUGCCUUCAGAAUGUUCUCCCAUUGUUGAGGAGUUUAAGCAGACCUCAUUGUGUUUUGAAGUGAAUGGAAAACUGCAUUUCAGAAAAUAUUUGCAUUAGAACUGCAUUUGAUGGUAUGUUUUAAGAGUGGAAUUCCAUAUUAUUAUUGACUGUAAUAUCUUUUCAUUUGUAAGUGUGCUCAUGGGCGAUCAACUUUUGUCCUUCUUUUGCCAACUUGGGUGCUUUGCAUGAGCAAAUUUCUUACUUAGGUUCGUGCAGUAGGAGGUCCUCCGAGGCAUGGCAUGGAUUACAUCGGCAUGAAAUCAACCUAGAACGUGCAGCAAAGCGACUAAGAUCAACUGUAUCCUAGCGUUUAAAAGCUCUCGUGAGUAUACCUAAUUUGAUUCUGCUUGCGAUCAACUAGUUUUACUUUGAAGAUAUCCGGUCUGUGAUUAUCACAUUGAAGGAUAAUCUGGAUAUGGAGCUCGGUACAUCUAGUCAGAUUCAAUAAAUAAAUAUAUGUAUUAAAUGUAACACUAGCUUUUGGUGGUAGCAAGACUCUCUCUCAACACACACACAUACAUACACACGAAAAAUAGGAAAAGGGAACAGAUUGUACACUUUUCAUGUAAAGUCAUGGAAACUCAUGUAUAUAGAAUGUAAAUAAAUACUACGAUUAUGAAUUAGAUAAUUUGAUUGUAACAUCAUUCAUCAAUUUGUA